ensembl:lncRNA
UAGUGCCCUAUAGGCCCUGGUCUAAUGUAGUGCUCUAUGGAGCCCUAUAGGCCCUGGUCUAAUGUAGUGCCCUAUAGGCCCUGGUCUAAUGUAGUGCCCUAUAGGCCCUGGUCUAAUGUAGUGCCAUAUAGGCCCUGGUCUAAUGUAGUGCACUAUAGAGCCCUAAAGGCCCUGGUCUAAUGUAGUGCUCUAUAGAGCCCUAUAGCCCCUGGUCUAAUGUAGUGCCCUAAAGGCCCUGGUCUAAUGUAGUGCUCUAUAGGCCCUGGUCUAAUGUAGUGCUCUAUAGAGCCCUAUAGGCCCUGGUCUAAUGUAGUGCUCUAUAGGCCCUGGUCUAAUGUAGUGCUCUAUAGUGCCCUAUAGGCCCUGGUCUAAUGUAGUGCUCUAUAGAGCCCUAUAGGCCCUGGUCUAAUGUAGUGCUCUGUAGGCCCUGGUCUAAUGUAGUGCUCUAUAGAGCCCUAUAGGCCCUGGUCUAAUGUAGUGCCCUAAAGGCCCUGGUCUAAUGUAGUGCUCUAUAGGCCCUGGUCUAAUGUAGUGCUCUAUAGAGCCCUAUAGGCCCUGGUCUAAUGUCGUGCUCUAUAGAGCCCUAUAGGCCCUGGUCUAAUGUAGUGCCAUAUAGGCCCUGGUCUAAUGUAGUGCACUAUAGAGCCCUAAAGGCCCUGGUCUAAUGUAGUGCUCUAUGGAGCCCUAUAGGCCCUGGUCUAAUGUAGUGCCCUAUAGGCCCUGGUCUAAUGUAGUGCUCUAUAGAGCCCUAUAGGCCCUGGUCUAAUGUAGUGCUCUAUAGUGCCCUAUAGGCCCUGGUCUAAUGUAGUGCCAUAUAGGCCCUGGUCUAAUGUAGUGCACUAUAGAGCCCUAAAGGCCCUGGUCUAAUGUAGUGCUCUAUAGAGCCCUAUAGGCCCUGGUCUAAUGUAGUGCCCUAAAGGCCCUGGUCUAAUGUAGUGCUCUAUAGGCCCUGGUCUAAUGUAGUGCUCUAUAGAGCCCUAUAGGCCCUGGUCUAAUGUAGUGCUCUAUAGGCCCUGGUCUAAUGUAGUGCUCUAUAGAGCCCUAUAGGCCCUGGUCUAAUGUAGUGCUCUAUGGAGCCCUAUAGGCCCUGGUCUAAUGUAGUGCUCUAUGGAGCCCUAUAGGCCCUGGUCUAAUGUAGUGCUCUGGUCUAAUGUAGUGCUCUAUAGAGCCCUAUAGGCCCUGGUCUAAUGUAGUGCACUAUAUGGGGAAUAGGGUGCCAUUUGAAACACCAUCUUUCUCUGUGAUGG